CUUGGAGACGGCAUCAUUUUUAUCAAGGCAGUUGAUGAAGGCAGAGGCCGAAAGCUUUUGCUAUAAGAACGUUAUAUCAGGCUGCUCAUUCUCUUGUUGAACAGUGGAGGACACACCAGAAACAAUGUUGUGAGGUGUUGCCUUAACUUACUUAAAGCCUACGCGGGAGAGGAAGGAAAUAGUCAGGGAAGCAAUGCGUGAAGGUUAUACCUGGACCGGUCCUAGCAUCUCCAGAUUUUGGAGGAGACAUGGAAGUGUAUCGAGAAGAAGUAUGAAUUACUGUCUAUAUCUUCCGCUACAUAGCUUGUCUAGGAACCACCCAGUCUUUUGCCCCUAAGCCAUUAUGAAAAAGAAACAAAGACGACCGUUUCUGAACUUCAGUUAUAGCUAUUGUGCUGUUUCAUAGAGGGAUUUACUCAACGUAUGGAAAGGAACAAUAGAAUAUUCCUCCUUCCCAAACUGGGAGAAGAAGAAAACCUGCUGUUGGCACAAUGUUUGUUUGUUUUAAGAGAGAUGCUCAAGAUUUCAACGUGCAAAAGGUUAGAAGAUGGCAGCUAUGGGAUCUCUCGGAUUGUGUGUUUCCUUGCAGCUUGCAGGCUGCAUUGCAGAAAUGUGAGCAGGUGCUCCUGUGUAUUUUCUACAGAGGUGAGAACUAACAGGCGGGAACUGAGAUCAAUGGAGGAGCUACAUGUCUUUAAUAUAGUCAGUGCAGAACUCGGAGGAAAGAUGCAGCAAUUGAGAUGAAUGGCUUAAAACAAAUACUUGACACAACUUUUAUAAUAAGUGCUCUAUUCCCACGCUGCAUCCCAUCACUGAGACCGACUUGGCUUGUCUUGUUAAAAGAAACAUCUACAGCAACAGCACAUUUCUGUUUGUCUUCAGUGAAGCAAAAUAAAAUAAAACCCUUAAUGAAGAAGUGAAAAGGUA